rnacentral:rRNA from 1 species
GGAAAGAAACUAACUAGGAUUCCCUUAGUAGCGGCGAGCGAACAGGGAAGAGCCCAGCACCGAAUCCCGCGUCCGUCUCGGUCGCCGGGAAAUGUGGUGUUAGGGAGGGUCCGCCAUCCCGAGGUCGCGCGGUCGGUCCAAGUCCUUCUUGAACGGGGCCACUUACCCAUAGAGGGUGCCAGGCCCGUGUGACUGCCGCCGGCAACGGGAGGAUCUCUCCUCAGAGUCGGGUUGCUUGAGAGUGCAGCCCUAAGUGGGUGGUAAACUCCAUCUAAGGCUAAAUAUAACCACGAGACCGAUAGCGAACAAGUACCGUGAGGGAAAGUUGAAAAGAACUUUGAAGAGAGAGUUCAAUAGUACGUGAAACCGUUCAGGGGUAAACCUGAGAAACCCGAAAUGUCGAAUGCAGAGAUUCAGCGUGUCUCGCCUGUGUCCGAGUGGUGGUUGUGUGACGGCCGACGAACGCGUCGACCGCUCCUUCCGCCGCCGAUUCGCGGCGAACGCGUGCACUUCUCUGCUAGUAGGAAGUCGCGACCCGUUGGGUGCCGGUCUAAGGACCGCGGUGGAGCCCGAGUGGCCGUUUCGGCGGUUCCAUUCGGACCCGCGGUUUCCCGACCGGCUCGCUCGACGGUACGACAGUGGCGCGGGGCCGCGAUUAACUUCGCGUCCGGCCCGUCGCAAGUACGGACGGUUAUCUGGAUGUCGGACCUAGUGCCGACUUCGGAGCCGCCCGGCUGCUGGCGACGGUGUCCUCGGACAGACUCCGUAUACGCCGGUCGGCGACGAUUUAGCUUUGGGUACUUUCAGGACCCGUCUUGAAACACGGACCAAGGAGUCUAGCAUGUGCGCGAGUCAUUGGGACUUAGCGAAACCUAAAGGCGUAAUGAAAGUGAAGGCCGCCUUGCGCGCGCCUAGGGUGGAUGCGCCGGGCUACGGCCUGGUGCCGCACACCCGGGGCGUCUCGUGCUCAUUGCGAGCUGAGGCGCACCCAGAGCGUACACGCUGGGACCCGAAAGAUGGUGAACUAUGCCUG